CAUCGGACAUGACGGAAGUGCUUCUAGUUGCAACACAGCUCGAUAUCUCUCAAACGUCUCAACUCUGAACGAUCCAUUUUCUCUUGAACUAGGCUACAAAGGUUGUGGGAAGAACCAAUCGACUGGCGAGCUUUUCUUGGCGGUUUUAAAUUGACGAUCUGUGAAUGAAACGUCAACUAUCAACAGAGGCAAUGAUUAUCAGUUGAGUCCCACAAGAAGAGAGGCUGGAAAUGGAUAGUGAAUAUGUGCCGGUAUCCCGAGAAUUCAAGAGUCGCGUCAUUGGAAGGGACGGAUGCGUGUUGAAUAACAUAAGGCAGAGAUCCGGAGCAAUAAUUACAUCCAGAUUUAAAGAAGAAGAAGGAUUUACUAUUAUUGGAGAUUACCAGCAGAGGGAAACUGCAAAAAGACUUAUUUUAGAAAAAGUGGAGGAAAUAGAGAUAACAGAGUGGGAGGAAGUGGAGAUUCCAACCGAAUACAAAGGUUUGGUGAUUGGAAAGCGCGGAGCUAACCUUUCCGAGAUAAACAAAGAAACAGGAGCAGUAGUAACUCGUAUAAGAAGAGAGGUGCAUAUUACAAAGGGAACCAAGCAACAAAGGGACCAUGUAAAAUUGCGUAUCAAACUCAAAGUGGCUUUAGCAAGACUCAGGGGCUUAGAAAACAACAGUGUUACAGUCUGCUGUUUCAUUGACGGUUGGAAUAUUUCCGAGAACUGUAAACUGAAGCUGGAGCGAGUUUCAGAAGAAGAUUGUUUGGUGCUCCCUAGCUCGCAGGCGCAGUUUCGAUUACAAUCUUCAAGAGAAUCCAGCCAACAGGUAUGUGUGAGUGACUCAAGUUAUUUAUCAAAACUUCAUGACGCCACGUUGGAAACAUUGCGGAAACUGAAUGCUGAAAAGGAUUCAAGCAACCAGUUAGAAGCUGACAUGUGGUGUCAUUUUGGAUUGGCCAAGAUUCGUGGGCCGAGUGAAGAGGACAUUGAGAAAGGAGACUGGAGCAUAGAUGAUGCAUCAGCAAUGUUUCAAUCGUCAGAGGAAGGAAAUCAUUGGAGGGUUGCUUUUCAAGAAGGCGUGAAUUUCAUUGAGGACAUAUUCAGGGGAUAUUAUUAUGAUAAUACACCAAAAGAAUACCUCGACUACGCCGCAAGAUAUGACUUAACUUUUCUCACUCCAUGCAGUCGUCAAGUGAGAUGUAAGGUCUGGGUGGCUAGGAAGGAUGUUAAGAAAAACUUGGAAGGCAUUCCAGUCCCAUUUAGUGACGUCAAGAACAUCCUGAAAAAAAUUCACUUUACUGAUGAAGCCACUCGGUCGCAAAGUCGAGGCUGGAUAGUUCUCCCAUCGCGAAGAUAUUUGCAAGCAGAUAUUUUAUUUCCUGGGUGCGAGUUCGAUUGCAGACUCACCAUACGUGAGCGAACAGGGAACGCCACUGAUCUAGACCAUGUACCGAAAGAAGAUGUAAUACGCGUGUUGGCAGAUUAUCUUUCUGAGAUUACUUUGAAGGAAGACGACUCCUUUGGACUAAAACUCCCCGAGAAGAAGAUCCCAGAAGGAUUUCAUUUGAUCCACAAACGGUUUUCCAAACGAAUUGUCUACAAGUCUAAGCCAGGUUUCAGUGUCAUUCUUUCGAGGGAACGAUCGUGGCGCUUUGCUGCGAAUGAUAAAGGAUCCAGAGAAUCGACUGAUCUUCACCUACAUUGCGAAGAGUGGGACAGGUUACUCAGUAGUGGGCAGUGGGAACCCGAGAUGAUUGUCAGAAAGUUACCCGAUUUUCUCGAAUUUGUCAAAGAAGUUCAAGGCUUUGUUGUUGGAAAGAUAAUGAGAAAUGGGCAAGAAAGGAUAGUUCCUCCAGAGAUUCUUGCAAGAGGACCUCUCGCUUUACAAGCCUAUUACCACGCCCUGGAUGAAGGAAAGAUCUGCGAUAGAAGAGUACCGCUGAUGUUGGUUGGACAAGACCGAUCCGGAAAGACUAGCUUGAAGAAAUCGUUAAAGGGCUUACGUUUCAACGCAAAAGAGGAGAGCACUGUGGGCAUUGAUUUAGAUCCGUACCCUUUUGAAGUGACCACGGAAAUGUGGAUGACAGGAAAAAAGAAUGAAGAGGGGAACGUUGAUCAAGAAGCUCUAUCAUUUGAACAAAAUGCAGCACGGUUGGCUGCUGACACAUUGAGGACUACAGAAACCGUCACUGAGCUAAGUAAGGGAAACAAUCUUGGGAAAGGAGAUGACUAUGAUAUUGACGGGACAGAUGACCUCUUGGAGGCAACCUCCAGUGAUUCAUCGAGUGGCUUUGUUGGAACUGAGCAAACUGAGGAUCUGUUAUCCACCGAAAGUAGCUUUGAUGAAAAUCGUUCGCCGGUGAGACAAGUUCCUGAUCCAAAAAAAAUGGAAUCCAAAGAUGACUUACCCAAUCCCACACCAGAACAGGCAUCACAUUUUGAAGAAAUUGCUACAAGAAUUGCAAGUUUACUUAAAGAAAAAGAAAAGAGAAGAGAGAAUGAGGCUGACGAUGUCUACUCAAUUCUGUGGGAUUUUGCCGGACAAUCUGUUUAUUACGUAACACAUCCCCUUUUUCUUACAGCAAGAGCCAUCUAUUUUCUUGUUUAUAAUCUCGGCUUGAAUCCAAACGCAAUAGCCGAGCCGCCAGUGAAACCCGGAGUAUACACAGAGCCCCAAGAUAGUUUUGACCAGAAAACUAACCUGGAUUACUUAGAUUUCUGGAUGAGUUCAAUAGCUUCUUUAGCAACAUAUCACGAAGGCAAGGAUAUGGAUACUGGAUUCGAGGCACUUCCAAAGCGAUUGCCUUUGGUUUUCCUGGUCUGCACUCACGCUGAUAAACCUUAUGAGGGCAGAGAUCCACACAAACUUGCAGUUGAAGUGUAUGGAACUUUGAAGGAGAGACCUUAUGGUGCCCAUUUGUAUGGUUUGUAUUGUGUAGAUAAUACAAAGUCCGGCUGUGAGUCUGAGUGUCAAGAAGUCGGACGUCUGCGAAAGGAAGUUCUCGCUGUUGCUAAGAAACUGCCACAUAUCAAGGAGGUGAUUCCAGUUAAAUGGUUAAAGUACGAAAAAACUCUCCAAAGGAGGAAAAAGGGCGGGGACAAUUUUAUUUCGCUCGAAACAGCAAAAAGCAUUGCAAACGAGGAAUGCGACAUCAGAACUGAAAACGAGUUCAAGACGCUGCUCAACUUUCUGCAUGACCUAAGAAUCUUGAUCCAUUUUGAUGACACAGCAGAACUGAAUGAUCUAGUGAUCCUCGAUUCUCAGUGGUUGAUCGACGUGUUUAAGAAGGUUAUAACUGUUAAGCCCUACCACCCUGAAGAGGAGCCCUUUUUAGAAUUAUGGAAGAAGCUUGAAAAUAAAGGAAUCUUGCAGGAACAGCUUUUGGAACAUGUUUGGGAACCUCAGUUAAUCGGCGGCAGAGAAAAUUCUGAAAAAUUAAUUGCAUUAAUGGAGAGAUUUAGCUUAUUGUGUUCGUGGCCUUCACCUGGUGGCAAGCAGUACCUGGUACCCUCCAUGCUAAAGUCACCACCACCAGAGGGUGUCUUGAAUUUGGUUUCUUCUGCACAAGUGCCUUCACUCGUUAUAAAGUUUGAGUCUGGUCAAGUCCCUGCUGGCCUUUUUCCCAGAUUAGUUUUACAGUUCUUUCAAUGGGGAAAAGAGGAGUUUUGGAGACCAGUGCGUCCGAAGCUGUUUCACAGCUUUUCCAGGUUUUACACGUCUCAAAAUUCCGGAUGCUCAGUAAUUCUUCUGUGUCACUCGUCUUAUAUCGAGGUUGUCUACCAUCGAUGUAACGAAAAUGAUGGCUUGGUAAAUGCUCUGCGAUCCAGCUUCUCCCAGAAGUCAAUGGACACGUUAUACAAUGAGAAUGAUUUAACUUGUGUCCAGGUUGUCUGUAGACAGUUGAACUUGAUUCUGGAGUGUAUGCGUAAUCAGUUUCGCUGGCUGAACAGCAUGAAAUACAAGAUGGGUAUCUUCUGUCCAAUCUUCGCAUGCUGUGAGCAGAGGGCUAUCGACUACUGUGAAAAGCAUCAAAGUUUAAAUUGCAAGCAAGAGGAAUGCCUUCACUUUUGGCCGGAGUCUGAGCUGCGCGCAUCCAAGGGAGACGCAUGUUGUUUGGAAUCUGAUUUUGCAUGUAUAAACAGAUUCAAUCCUGAGCACUGUGCUCCUUGGUUUUCAUCUCAGGAGAACUGGGUGGCACAUUAUGAUAAACUUUUGUCCCUUGAUAAAGGUGAAGGAGCUAGGACGCUGUCUCUCCCUGGUGAGGUUGUAGACACCCUUUUGUCACCUUCAAAUGAUUGCAAAGAAGUUGUACGACAACUAGAAGAAAAAUUUAAUCUGGAUGAUGCUGCCUUGCAAAACCCUGAUCCUGAUAACAAGGUACUGAUUCGUGCCCUGGCGAGAAAGGCUAACAAUGCAGACCGAAGUGAUGUAGUUGAGGAGCUGAGAAAAAUUGUGCCGGCAGGGACAACAGCUCCAAUUUUACCGGAGAGCCUUCAUGUUCGAGAAAUCCCUUUCAGUCAACUAAGAAAGCUUACUAUCACCUUAAGCGGUUGUCGCACAGGGUGACCCCCAGUACUUUAUGAGAGCUUACUUCUUCGGUGAGUGUUAUUAACUGUGAGCUGGACUACAUCUGGAUCUUUCUUCAGCCAAUGUCGAGAUGUCUUCCAGGUCAGACUGUAUGAUUAAUGGGGAGCCAAAUUUCCAUUGAUUUGACUUGAGAGGGGAUAUGCAUGGUAGGUCAUCGACCAUGACAUGGCUCUUUUAAAGCUGGAUGCGCCUCCUAUGGCGGGCCAAGAAAGAACCUUUGAGAAAUUAAAACUACCAGGAUAAAGCUUUGAUAUU
rnacentral:misc_RNA from 1 species